rnacentral:rRNA from 1 species
CCCUUAGAUGUUCUGGGCUGCACGCGCGCUACACUGAUGCGUUCAACGAGUUUUUGACCUUGCCUGACACGGUUGGGUAAUCUUGUUAAAACGCAUCGUGAUGGGGAUAGAUUAUUGCAAUUAUUGAUCUUCAACGAGGAAUUCCUAGUAAGCGUGAGUCAUCAGCUCGUGCUGAUUACGUCCCUGCCCUUUGUACACACCGCCCGUCGCACCUACCGAUUGAAUGGUCCGGUGAACCCUCCGGAUCGGCUCGCGCCAACGCAAGUUGAGCAAAGGCCGAGAAGUUGGGUAAACCUUACCAUUUAGAGGAAGGUGAAGUCGUAACA